GAUGAACGCUGGCGGUGUGCCUAACACAUGCAAGUCGAGCGAACAGACGAUAAGCUUUUUCCCUUGCCGUUAGCGGCGGACGGGCGAGUAACGCGUGCAUAACCUUCUUAUUAGUCGUGGAGAACUACGGGAAGCCGGUUCUACUACCGCAUAAUACAAUCUACGGCUUGGAUCAAUAGUGCAAGACGGCUUUGCUGUUUCUUAUAGAUGAUUCCGCGCCGCAUUAGCUAGUUGGUAAGGUAACGGCUUACCAAGGCGACGAUGCGUAGCUGAUCUGAGAGGAUGAUCAGCCACACUGGAACUGAGACACGGUCCAGACUCCUACGGGAGGCAGCAGUGGGGAAUCUUCCACAAUGGGCGAAAGCCUGACGGAGCCACGCCGCGUGGGUGAUGAAGGUCUUCGGGUCGUAAAGCUCUGUUGUUGGGGAAGAAAAGAAGCGUAUGAAACCAUGGCCGUCUUGACGGUACCUAAAGAAAAAGCAACGGCUAACUUCGUG
rnacentral:rRNA from 1 species